rnacentral:rRNA from 1 species
AUUGAACGCUGGCGGCAGGCCUAACACAUGCAAGUCGAACGAGUGGCGGACGGGUGAGUAAUGUCUGGGAAACUGCCUGAUGGAGGGGGAUAACUACUGGAAACGGUAGCUAAUACCGCAUACCAUCGGAUGUGCCCAGAUGGGAUUAACUAGUAGGCGGGGUAAAGGCGCACCUAGGCGGCGAUCCCUAGCUGGUCUGAGCGGAUGACCAGACAGACUGGAACUGGGACGCGGGCCAGUGUCCUGCGGGAGGCAGCAGUGGGGAAUAAGGCACAAUGGGCGCAAGCCUGAUGCAGCCAUGCCACGUGUAUGAAUAAGGCCUUCGGGUUGUAAAGUACUUUCAGCGGGUAGGCGUUACCCGCAGAAGAAGCACCGGCUAACUCCGUGCCAGCAGCCGCGGUAAUUC